rnacentral:lncRNA from 1 species
AGAAAAAAGCGUGCCAAAUAUUGCAUAAAAUCCAUACACAGAUUAAGCAUGAAGAAAGAACAACAGCAUGAACACGGUUAAUGAUGGUAAUUAAUCCACUCAUUCGCUGCAUUGCAUAAAAGGAGUGAUUAGAUCAGCCAAAAGCCACAAGUUAAUAAAUAAUAAUCCAGAAACGGAAUGCUAAUUAACUAAUUAAACACUCCACCACUAAUCUUUCACCAUGGAAUCCCAUCCUGUUCUUCGCUGCGAGUCCUACCCCAUGAAUCCUGCUCUGAUCUGCCAUGCCAUGGAUCGUCGUCGUCUCCGCAGGAGGCUCAGCGGUGCGCGGUGACGAGGGUCUCGAUGAAGCGCAGCCCGUCGAACCGCGGCGCGAACCGGCCGUCCGCCCUCGACGGCGCCGGCGCCGGCGACCCCUGCAGGCGGCGAGCAAAAACAGAAGCGCGCGUACGUAAGCCAUCCAUCCAUCAACAUGAAUGCAGCCGUCGAUGCGCGCAAGGAAGAAGAUGACGAUGGACAAACCGUGGUGGGAAUGGGAUCGGGGGAGACGCGGCGCUCGGCGGCGGNNNNNNNNNNNNNGCCCACUUCAUGAUCGUCCUCUGGUGACGGAGACCCGCCGCGGCGCCUUCCGUGUUGCCGGGCACCGGAGCGAGGCGAGGCUAGCUGAUGGGUGCGGGGUAUUUAUGGAGGAGGAGUCGUCGGCGGAAUCUUGCGGGGGCGGAUUGGACGGCGGCCGGCGCGUCACGGGCGGUGGGUCGCUGCGGC